UACGUAGGGUGCGAGCGUUGUCCGGAAUUAUUGGGCGUAAAGAGCUUGUAGGCGGUUUGUCGCGUCUGCUGUGAAAAUCCGGGGCUCAACCCGGACUUGCAGUGGGUACGGGCAGACUAGAGUGUGGUAGGGGAGACUGGAAGUUCCUGGUGUAGCGGUGAAAUGCGCAGAUAUCAGGAAGAACACCCGUGGCGAAAGCGGCUCUCUGGAACGGUACUGACGCUGAGACGCGAAAGCGUGGGGAGCGAACAGG
rnacentral:rRNA from 1 species